AUACAGCAAAAAAUAUAUUUUACUAGUUAUUAUCAAGUAAUUUGACGCUUAAAAGUGCAUGAAAAAUUGAGUACUCUUAAUAGUAGCCAAAGACACGCUGCAUCUGGAAUUAUAAAUACAAAAGAAAAUGUUCCAAAGAUUAGCCACUCUUCAAAUUAAACAAUUCUGAAAAUUCAGUCCAGUGACGCAAAUGAAAAUUUUUCAAAGACUAUGCAUCAUGUAUGCUACAGAGAUUUCUUAAAGCGACCCCAAUUCCCACCCGCACAAUGAAUAACUACUAAAAGGAUAUUCUAUUUUCACCAAAUAUAAAAUGUUAGUAAAUUCAGCACCACAAUUGA
rnacentral:misc_RNA from 1 species